GAUGAACGCUGGCGGCGUGCCUAAUACAUGCAAGUCGAGCGAACAGACGAGGAGCUUGCUCCUUUGACGUUAGCGGCGGACGGGUGAGUAACACGUAGGUAACCUACCUAUAAGACUGGGAUAACUUCGGGAAACCGGAGCUAAUACCGGAUAAUAUUUCGAACCGCAUGGUUCGAUAGUGAAAGAUGGCUUUGCUAUCACUUAUAGAUGGACCUGCGCCGUAUUAGCUAGUUGGUAAGGUAACGGCUUACCAAGGCAACGAUACGUAGCCGACCUGAGAGGGUGAUCGGCCACACUGGAACUGAGACACGGUCCAGACUCCUACGGGAGGCAGCAGUAGGGAAUCUUCCGCAAUGGGCGAAAGCCUGACGGAGCAACGCCGCGUGAGUGAUGAAGGUCUUCGGAUCGUAAAACUCUGUUAUUAGGGAAGAACAAACGUGUAAGUAACUGUGCACGUCUUGACGGUACCUAAUCAGAAAGCCACGGCUAACCACGUG
rnacentral:rRNA from 1 species